rnacentral:rRNA from 1 species
GACGAACGCUGGCGGCGUGCUUAACACAUGCAAGUCGAACGAAGAGCGAUGGAAGCUUGCUUCUAUCAAUCUUAGUGGCGAACGGGUGAGUAACGCGUAAUCAACCUGCCCUUCAGAGGGGGACAGCAGUUGGAAACGACUGCUAAUGCCGCAUACGAUCUGACCUCGGCAUCGAGGAUAGAUGAAAGGUGGCCUCUAUUUAUAAGCUAUCACUGAAGGAGGGGAUUGCGUCUGAUUAGCUAGUUGGAGGGGUAACGGCCCACCAAGGCGAUGAUCAGUAGCCGGUCUGAGAGGAUGAACGGCCACAGUGGGACUGAGACACGGCCCAGACUCCUACGGGAGGCAGCAGUGGGGAAUCUUCCGCAAUGGACGAAAGUCUGACGGAGCAACGCCGCGUGAGUGAUGACGGCCUUCGGGUUGUAAAGCUCUGUUAAUCGGGACGAAAGGCCUUCUUGCGAAUAGUUAGAAGGAUUGACGGUACCGGAAUAGAAAGCCACGGCUAACUACGUG